rnacentral:rRNA from 1 species
UUGAGACGUAAAAUUUGAUUAUAAAUAAUUUACUUGAGUAUUACGAGUUGUGAAAUAUUGUUUUAUACAGAAAUCUUAAAACUCAAAAGACUUGGCGGUAUCUUAGGUCCUUCUAGGGGAACCUGUCCUAUAAUCGAUAGUCCACGAUUUAUCUUUCCUUUCCUUGAAAAUAGUCAGCUUGUAUACCGUCGUCGUCAGAUUACCUUUAAGAGUGAAAUAAGUUAUCAGAGAGAAGGCUACUGUUUAGCGUUUGUCUUGAUUUUAAUAAAUUAAGGUUAAUGUAAAAGUAAUUUUCUAGAUGUCAGAUCAAGGUGCAGCCCAUGGGAAGGUAGAGAUGGGUUACAAUAAUCAUUUAUUAUUUACGGAUUUCUUAUUGAAAUUAUAAGAACUAAAGGCGGACUUAGAAGUAAUUAAUAAGAGAAAUAGAAAGUCUCGGCGAAAAUGGCACUAAGAUGUG